AUUGAACGCUGGCGGCAUGCUUUACACAUGCAAGUCGAACGGCAGCGGGGGCUUCGGCCCGCCGGCGAGUGGCGAACGGGUGAGUAAUGCAUCGGAACGUGCCCAGUCGUGGGGGAUAACACAUCGAAAGAUGUGCUAAUACCGCAUACGUCCUGAGGGAGAAAGCGGGGGAUCUUCGGACCUCGCGCGAUUGGAGCGGCCGAUGUCGGAUUAGCUAGUUGGUGGGGUAAAAGCCCACCAAGGCGACGAUCCGUAGCGGGUCUGAGAGGUUUAUCCCCCACACUGGUACUGAGACACGGACCAGACUCCUACGGGAGGCAGCAGUGAGGAAUAUUGGUCAAUGGACGCAAGUCUGAACCAGCCACGUCGCGUGAAGGAAGACGGCCCUACGGGUUGUAAACUUCUUUUAUACGGGAAUAAAGUGCCCCACGCGUGGGGUUUUGCAUGUACCGUAUGAAUAAGGAUCGGCUAACUCCGUG
rnacentral:rRNA from 1 species